CCGCGCGCUGGCUUGCUUGCUGCGCGCGAUGGUGCCGCGCCUUGGCUUGCUUGCUUCGCGCGAUGGUGCCGCGCUUGCUGCACACGAUGGUGCCGCGCUUGCUGCGCGCGAUGUUGCCGCGCUUGCUGGGCGCGAUGGUGCUACGCGCUGGCUUGCUUGCUGCGCGCGAUGGUGCCGCGCGCUGGCUUGCUUGCUGCGCGCGAUGUUGCCGGGCUUGCUGGGUGCGAUGGUGCCGCGCGCUGGCUUGCUUGCUGCGUGCGAUGGUGCCGUGCCUUGGCUUGCUUGCUUCGCGCGAUGGUGCUGCGCUUGCUGCGUGCGAUGGUGCCGCGCGUUGGCUUGCUUGCAGCGCGCGAUGUUGCCGGGCUUGCUGGGCGCGAUGGUGCCGCGCGCUGGCUUGCUUGCUGGGCGCGAUGGUGCCGCGCUGUCACGGGCUCGCUUUGCACUCAAGGUGGAUACACUUAGAAGUGGGGGUUAACUUAGAAAUUGGGCCACCAAGACAACUAACUAGCUGGGGUGCACUUAUCAAAACCUCCACCAAGGCCCAAAGUCAACCAAGGCCCAAGGGUCUAGAACUCUCUACAUAUUAUCCAUUCACUAGAACUUUCUAGGACUCACCACUUGGGUCCCUUAGUGUUUUGCCACUUGUAAUAGAAUUCUCUAGAAUUAGGCAUUCCACCCCCUAUAAUAUAUGGGUGAACACCCAUCAUUCACACAGCCACCAACACACCCACACAACACACCUAGCACACUAGCUCUCAAGCUCUCUUGUACAAACACUCUUGUAAUUAUUCAAAGUGUAAUACAAUCAUCUUUGGCCAUUCCACUCUUACUUCCCUUAACAUUUUCUCCAAGUGUGUGUGCUUGGCUUGUUUAGGGAGUAAUCUAGGCUUACUUGGCGACUCACACGCUAAGGUCGCUCAAGUGCCGCACGGGAACUUGCUGCGCAAAACUAUCACCCCGUGACAAGUGGUAUCAGAGCUACGGUUUGCACCCACGCGUAAACUAGCUCAUAGACGAUGGCCAAUCCUUCCAGCACAUUGCAAGAGGACGCACUCGGUGCGGAGGUACAGGAGCAAGCUCGUGGCCGCGAGGAGGGAGGACGCGGACAGCCAAAGUCCCGAGGUAAGUCCAAAGCCCCUUCUAUGGAUGCAUUGGAACCUCGUGUUGCCACGCUCGAAACGUCAAUGGCCGCUGUCCAAGACACCCUCGAUACAUUAGAGGAGCGAGUCGAUGGCCUUGAGGGUGAAUAUGGCGAAUUCACAGUAGCCACCAAAGCCCUCAUGCAAGACCAAGCCGACUCCCUCCGAGGGGAGUUUCGAGCGUUCCAUGACGAGCUGCUCAGUUUGCGUACCUUUGUGCAAAAUGAGUUGCGUGCAGUCCGUACGGAGGUUGACGAGGUCCGCUCGGAUUGGGCUUGGCACAAGCGCACACUCACGCCUAGCCCGGCUGCGGUUCCCGCAAGCUCGAGUGAUGCGCGCCGCAUUGACGUGCCCAAGCCCGAUACUUACGAUGGUGCGCGCAACGCCAUUGUGGGGGAUAACUUCCUGUUUGGGCUAGAACAAUAUUUUGACGCGAUGGGUGUCCGAGAUGAUGCGUCAAAGGUAGGCACCGCGCCUACAUUCCUCCGAGGCUCCGCGCAACUAUGGUGGCGGCGGAAACACGGUGAGAUGGGCAAGGGCAUUUGCGCCAUCAGCACAUGAGCCGAAUUUCAGCAGGAACUUCGCAAGCAUUUUGCCCCAACCAAUGCGGAGAAGGAAGCACGAGCGCGGUUACGUCGGCUCAAGCAAACGGGUAGCGUCCGCGAUUACAUCAACGACUUCACCACCCUUAUGCUUGAGAUUUCCGACAUGUCCGAUAAGGACUCUCUCUUCUACUUUCAAGACGGCCUUAAAGAUUGGGCCAAGACGGAGCUUGAUAGGCGUGGCGUGCAAACUCUCGACGACGCCAUUGCCAUUGCGGAAUCACUCUCUGAUUACUCCGCCCAGCCCAAAGACAAGAGGCCUAGCCAUGGCAAAGGUGGGGGAGAGGGUCGAAAGGACAAAGGCCGCAACUGCAAGGAAUGGGGACAGAAAAAGCCUCCAAGCGGCAAGAGCGGGCAAGGCAAGACAGAAAAACAGCAGCCGCCAAAGCCUCGAAGCCCAUGUUUCAUUUGCAAUGGCCCUCAUUGGGUGCGCGACUGUCCGGAAAAAAAGUCGCUUAGCACCCUCGCCGCUCAGCUCAAGGGCGACUCUCCAUCGACACCGGAAGAACCCCAACCUAGAGUGGGUUCCCUCAAACGCCUUGGAGCGCUUGAAAGCCAUCCGCCCACAGCCAUGAGGAAAGGGCUCAUGUAUGUGAACGCCACAGUUAAUGGGCAAGCUGUUCGGGCAUUGCUCGACACCGGAGCCACCCACAACUUCAUCUCGGAAGAAGAGGCUAAGCACCUAGGCCUAAAGGUGACAAAGGACGGAGGCACAAUGAAGGCAGUAAACUCACCCGCCAAGCCCAUUGCGGGCACCGCACAAGGAGUGCGUGUUAUUCUUGGAAUGUGGAGCGGAAAGCUCAACUUCUCAAGGAGACGCCACGUCGAGUACAAGGAAGGCGACCAAGUGAUGGUGAAGCUCCUACCCCAACAGUUCAAGACGUUGCGGAAAGUCCACAAAGGGUUAGUGAGGCGAUAUGAAGGGCCUUUCGAAGUAGUUCAACGCGUGGGCAAGGUCUCCUACCAACUCCAACUUCCACCAAGACUCAAGAUCCACCCGGUCAUCCACGUGAGCUUGCUCAAGCCAUACCACGGAGACGCGGGAGAUCCAAGCCGAGGCAAGUCAAGGCGUGCCACAACCGCCGUUGUCACCGCUAUUGACAAGGACAUAGAGUACAUUCUUGCGGAUCGAGUAAUUCGAAGACGGGGCAUACCGGCUUACUACGAGUACUUGGUGAAAUGGAAGAACCUCCCCGAGAGCGAAGCAACAUGGGAGCGCGAAGACGAUCUAUGGCAAUUCGCAGAACAUGUGCAGCUCUACAAACACAACAACGCGACGAGGACGCCGCGAACAUAGGUGGGGGAGGAUUGUCACGGGCUCGCUUGGCACUCAAGGUGGAUACACUUAGAAGUGGGGGUUAACUUAGAAAUUGGGCCACCAAGACAACUAACUAGCUGGGGUGCACUUAGCAAAACCCCCACCAAGGCCCAAAGUCAACCAAGGCCCAAGGGUCUAGAACUCUCUACAUAUUAUCCAUUCACUAGAACUUUCUAGGACUCACCACUUGGGUCCCUUAGUAUUUUGCCACUUGUAAUAGAAUUCUCUAGAAUUAGGCAUUCCACCCCCUAUAAAUAUGGGUGAACAUCCAUCAUUCACACAGCCACCAACACACCCACACAACACACCUAGCACACUAGCUCUCAAGCUCUCUUGUACAAACACUCUUGUAAUUAUUCAAAGUGUAAUACAAUCAUCUUUGGCCAUUCCACUCUUACUUCCCUUAACAUUUUUUCCAAGUGUGUGUGCUUGGCAUGUUUAGGGAGUAAUCUAGGCUUACUUGGCAACUCACACGCUAAGGUCGCUCAAGUGCCGCACGGGAACUUGCUGCGCAAAACUAUCACCCCAUGACAGCGCGGCACCAUCGCGCAGAGACAUCGCUGGGCGCGAUGGUACCGCGCGCUGGCUUGCUUGCUGCCCGCGAUGGUGCCGCGCGCUGGCUUGCUUGCUGCGCGCGAUGGUGCGGUGCGGUGGCUUGCUUGCUGCGCGCGAUGUUGCCGCGCUUGCUGGGCGCGAUGGUGCCGCGCGGUGGCUUGCUUGCUGCGCGCGAUGGUGCCGCGCGGUGGCUUGCUUGCUGCGCACGAUGGUGCGGCGCGGUGGCUUGCUUGCUGCACGCGAUGGUGCCGCGCGCUGGCUUGCUUGCUGCGCGCGAUGGUGCCGCACGCUGGUUUGCUUGCUGCGCGCUUGUUGCGCGCGAUGGUGCCGCGCGUGAUCGCGAUGUCUCUGCGCGAUGGUGCCGCGCUGUCAUGGGGUGAUAGUUUUGCGCAGCAAGUUCCCUGCGGCACUUGAGCGACCUUAGCGUGUGAGUCGCCAAGUAAGCCUAGAUUACUCCCUAAACAUGCCAAGCACACACACUUGGAGAAAAUGUUAAGGGAAGUAAGAGUGGAAUGGCCAAAGAUGAUUGUAUUACACUUUGAAUAAUUACAAGAGUGUUUGUACAAGAGAGCUUGAGAGCUAGUGUGCUAGGUGUGUUGUGUGGGUGUGUUGGUGGCUGUGUGAAUGAUGGGUGUUCACCCAUAUUUAUAGGGGGUGGAAUGCCUAAUUCUAGAGAAUUCUAUUACAAGUGGCAAAACACUAAGGGACCCAAGUGGUGAGUCCUAGAAAGUUCUAGUGAAUGGAUAAUAUGUAGAGAGUUCUAGACCCUUGGGCCUUGGUUGACUUUGGGCCUUGGUGGGGGUUUUGCUAAGUGCACCCCAGCUAGUUAGUUGUCUUGGUGGCCCAAUUUCUAAGUUAACCCCCACUUCUAAGUGUAUCCACCUUGAGUGCCAAGCGAGCCCGUGACAAUCCUCCCCCACCUAUGUUCGCGGCGUCCUCGUCGCGUUGUUGUGUUUGUAGAGCUGCACAUGUUCUGCGAAUUGCCAUAGAUCGUCUUCGCGCUCCCAUGUUGCUUCGCUCUCGGGGAUGUUCUUCCAUUUCACAAAGUACUCGUAGUAAGCCGGUAUGCCCCGUCUUCGAAUUACUCAAUCCGCAAGAAUGUACUCCAUGUCCUUGUCAAUAGCGGUGACAACGGCGGUUGGGGCAUGCCUUGACUUGCCUCGGCUUGGAUCUCCCGCGUCUCCGUGAUAUGGCUUGAGCAAGCUCACGUGGAUGACCGGGUAGAUCUUGAGUCUUGGUGGAAGUUGGAGUUGGUAGGAGACCUUGCCCACGCGUUGAACUACUUCGAAAGGCCCUUCAUAUCGCCUCACUAACCCUUUGUGGACUUUUCGCAACGUCUUGAACUGUUGGGGUAGGAGCUUCACCAUCACUUGGUCGCCUUCCUUGUACUCGACGUGGCGUCUCCUUGAGUCAGCCCACUUUUUCAUUCUCCGAGCGGCCCUGUCGAGGUAUGCUCGCGUGAUAUCCGCUUCUUCAUGCCAUUCGCGAGCGAGUUUGUGGGCUACUGGGCUCUUUCCUUCAUAGGUCGAGGCUAUGGCAUUGGGCGUCGUCGGCUGAAAUCCCAUGAUGAUCUCGAAUGGACUCUUGCCUGUAGCCUCGCUCCGUUGUAGGUUGUAUGAGAAUUGGGCAACGUCCAGCAACUUCGCCCAAUCUCGCUGGUGAGCGCUCAGAUAAUGCCUAAGAUACAUCUCGAGUAGGCUAUUUAUGCGCUCGGUUUGUCCAUCCGUUUGUGGAUGGAAGCUUGUUGAGAACUUGAGGUCGGUUCCCAGCAUCUUGAAGAGCUCCGUCCAAAAGCGUCCAGUGAAGCGUGGAUCCCGGUCGCUCACAAUGCUUUUUGGAACUCCCCAAAGUUUGAUGAUGUGCUUGACAAAUAGGCGGGCAGCCUCAUCCGCUUUGCAAUCGGUCGGUGCGGCGAUGAAAGUCGCAUACUUGCUAUAGCGGUCGACUACCACCAUGAUGCUUCCGCACCCCUCGGACUUGGGUAGGGCCGAGAUAAAGUCCAUGGUGACACUCUCCCAUGGUCUUGAUGCUGUUGGUAAAGGCUCCAAUAGUCCCGCCGGAAGUUGGCGAUCCGCCUUGUCUUGUUGGCACACGAGACAUGUCCGCACGUAGGCCUCAAUGUCAUUCCUCAUGUGUGGCCAAAAGUAGGAGGCUUGGACGAGUGCGGUCGUGCGCUCUACUCCAGGGUGGCCAGCCCACUUCGAGUCAUGGCACUCCUUGAUCACCUCUCGCCACAAAUUUCCCCACCUCGGCACAAAUAGUCGGUCUCCCUUGGUGAGGAGGAUGCCUUCCUCUUGCCAAAAUCGCCUCGUCUUCCCUUCAAGCACUUUCCCCAACAAGUCUUUCGCCAACGGAUCUUGUUGGAGGCCUUCCUUGAUGCGCAUGACGAGAUCGGACUUUGGCUGGCUCAUGCUAAGUGUAACCAAUUCCGCUUUGCGGCUUAGAGCAUCCGCAACUUCUGAUCUUGUACUCGAGCCUAUAAUCAAAUUCUGCAAGAAAGUCUUGCCACCUUGCUUGCUUGGGGCUCAACUUCUUUUGUGUUUGGAAGUAGCUCGUGGCUACGUUGUCCGUCAAGAUCACGAAGUGUGAGCCAAGCAAGUAGUGUCGCCACACUCGUAGGCAAUGCACAAUGGCUGUCAUCUCCUUCUCUUGCACGAUGUAGCGGCGUUCCGUGUCGUUGAGCUUCCGACUCUCGAAUGCUAUGGGGUGACCUUCUUGCAUGAGUACUCCGCCUAUGGCAAAGUCGGAGGCAUCCGUUUGAACCUCAAAUGGCUUUGUAUGGUCUGGAAGUGCAAGGACGGGCUGUUCGGAGAUAGCCUUCCUCAAUUCCCCGAAAGCGCGUUGGCAUUCCUUGGACCAAUGCCACGUGCAGUUCUUCUUCAGCAGCUCGGUCAAGGGUGCCGCUUUAGCUGAAUACCCUUUGAUGAAGCGGCGGUAAUAGUUCACCAACCCAAGGAAAGACCGGAGUUCGGGUACAUUGGUAGGAGGUUGCCACUCAAGUAUAGCCUUUACUUUCGAGUCCUCCAUCAUGAGUUUCCCGUCCGCUAUCUUGUGGCCAAGAAACUCCACCUCUCGUUGGGCAAACGAGCACUUCUCCAGCUUGAGGUAGAGUUCAUUGUUGCGUAGUACUUGGAGAACUUGCCGUAAGUGUUGGGCAUGUUCCUGGAGUGUGGUGCUGUACACCACAAUGUCAUCCAAGUACACCACAAGAAAGCGGUCGAGAAACGGUUGGAGGACUUUGUUCAUGAGAGUGCAGAAUGUCGCCGGUGCAUUGGUGAGACCAAACGGCAUAACAAGAAAUUCGAAAGAGCCAUACCUGGUCACGCACGUCGUCUUUGGUUCGUCACCCUUGGUGAUGCACACUUGGUAGUACCCGGACCAUAGGUCGAGCUUGGUGAAGUACCACGCGCUGCCGAGUUGAUCGAACAAGUCCGUAAUCAAGGGGAUCGGAUACUUGUUCUUGAUUGUAAUCUUGUUGAGCGCUCGAUAGUCGAUGCACAUGCGUAGAGAUCCAUCCUUCUUCUUUUGAAAGAGCACUGGUGCACCGAAUGGGGCCUUGGAAGGGCGGAUGUAGCCCGCGUCGAGCAAGUCUUUGAGUUGCCUCCGCAACUCUUCUAACUCGGGUGGCGCCAUGCGGUAAGGCGCUAAGGCUGGCGGCUUCGCGCCUUGCUCUAGCUCAAUCUCAUGUUCCACCUCUCGACUUGGUGGGAGCUUCUUCGGGAGCUUCGGAGGCAUGACGUCCUUGAACUCGUCGAGGACGGCUUGAAUGAGUGGAGGAGGUUGGCUUGACAAGUCUUCUCGACCUUCUUCAUUAUUCACCUCCCGGAUGGAAACCAAGAAGCUAGGGUCCUUCCGAAAAGCCUUUAUGAACUGCAUGGCGGAGAGCGCCUUAUCCGCGGUCUUCGAGCGCUCGGCUGGAACCAUGCACGCCAUACUCCCAUCAAGGAUGCUUAGGGAGUUCGUGGCCGGCAGUGGAAACGCAUGGACUCGGUCGAAGAACUCCAUGCCAAGGACCAUCUUGAAGUCGUCCAUGGGCACGAUCGAGAAGUCGAGCUUUCCGCUCCACGUUCCAAGAGUAACGCGCACUUCUUGUGUGGUGCCCGCAAUGGGCUUGGCGGUUGAGUUUACCGCCUUCAUUGUGCCUCCAUCCUUUGUCACCUUUAGGCCUAGGCGCUUAGCCUCUUCUUCCGAGAUGAAGUUGUGGGUGGCUCCGGUGUCGAGCAAUGCCCGAACAGCUUGCCCAUUAACUGUGGCGUUCACAUACAUGAGCCCUUUCCUCAUGGCUGUGGGUGGAUGGCUUUCAAGCGCUCCAAGGCGUUUGAGGGAACCCACUCUAGGUUGGGGUUCUUCCGGUGUUGAUGGAGAGUCGCCCUUGAGCUGAGCGGCGAGGGUGCUAAGCGACUUUUUCUCCAGACAGUCGCGCACCCAAUGAGGGCCAUUACAAAUGAAACAUGGGCUUCGAGGCUUUGGCGGCUGCUGUUUUUCUGUCUUGCCUUGCCCGCUCUUGCCGCUUGGAGGCUUUUUCUGUCCCCAUUCCUUGCGGUUGCGGCCUUUGUCCUUUCAGCCCUCUCCCCCACCUUUGCCAUGGCUAGGCCUCUUGUCUUUGGGCUGGGCGGAGUAAUCGGAGAGUGAUUCCGCAAUGGCAAUGGCGUCGUCGAGAGUUUGCACGCCACGCCUAUCAAGCUCCGUCUUGGCCCAAUCUUUAAGGCCGUCUUGAAAGUAGAAGAGAGAGUCCUUAUCGGACAUGUCGGAAAUCUCAAGCAUAAGGGUGGUGAAGUCGUUGAUGUAAUCGCGGACGCUACCCGUUUGCUUGAGCCGACGUAACCGCGCUCGUGCUUCCUUCUCCGCAUUGCUUGGGGCAAAAUGCUUGCGAAGUUCCUGCUGAAAUUCGGCCCAUGUGCUGACGGCGCAAAUGCCCUUGCCCAUCUCACCGUGUUUCCGCCGCCACCAUAGUUGCGCGGAGCCUCGGAGGAAUGUAGGCGCGGUGCCUACCUUUGACGCAUCAUCUCGGACACCCAUCGCGUCAAAAUAUUGUUCUAGCCCAAACAGGAAGUUAUCCACCACAAUGGCGUUGCGCGCACCAUCGUAAGUAUCGGGCUUGGGCACGUCAAUGCGGCACGCAUCACUCGAGCUUGCGGGAACCGCAGCCGGGCUAGGCGUGAGUGUGCGCUUGUGCCAAGCCCAAUCUGAGCGGACCUCGUCAACCUCCGCAUGGACUGCACGCAACUCAUUUUGCACAAAGGUACGCAAACUGAGGAGCUCGUCAUGGAACGCUCGAAACUCCCCUCGGAGGGAGUCGGCUUGGUCUUGCAUGAGGGCUUUGGUGGCUACUGUGAAUUCGCCAUAUUCACCCUCAAGGCCAUCGACUCGCUCCUCUAAUGUAUUGAGGGUGUCUUGGACAGCGGCCAUUGACGUUUCGAGCGUGGCAACACAAGGUUCCAAUGCAUCCAUAGAAGGGGCUUUGGACUUACCUCGGGACUUUGGCUGUCCGCGUCCUCCCUCCUCGCGGCCACGAGCUUGCUCCUGUACCUCCGCACCGAGUGCGCCCUCUUGCAAUGUGCUGGAAGGAUUGGCCAUCGUCUAUGAGCUAGUUUGCGUGUGGGUGCAAACUGUAGCUCUGAUACCACUUGUCACGGGGUGAUAGUUUUGCGCAGCAAGUUCCCGUGCGGCACUUGAGCGACCUUAGCGUGUGAGUCGCCAAGUAAGCCUAGAUUACUCCCUAAACAAGCCAAGCACACACACUUGGAGAAAAUGUUAAGGGAAGUAAGAGUGGAAUGGCCAAAGAUGAUUGUAUUACACUUUGAAUAAUUACAAGAGUGUUUGUACAAGAGAGCUUGAGAGCUAGUGUGCUAGGUGUGUUGUGUGGGUGUGUUGGUGGCUGUGUGAAUGAUGGGUGUUCACCCAUAUUUAUAGGGGGUGGAAUGCCUAAUUCUAGAGAAUUCUAUUACAAGUGGCAAAACACUAAGGGACCCAAGUGGUGAGUCCUAGAAAGUUCUAGUGAAUGGAUAAUAUGUAGAGAGUUCUAGACCCUUGGGCCUUGGUUGACUUUGGGCCUUGGUGGGGGUUUUGCUAAGUGCACCCCAGCUAGUUAGUUGUCUUGGUGGCCCAAUUUCUAAGUUAACCCCCACAUCUAAGUGUAUCCACCUUGAGUGCCAAGCGAGCCCGUGACAGCGCGCUGGCUUACUUGCUGCGCGCGAUGGUGCCGCGCUUGCUUAGCGCGUUGGUGCCGCGCGCUGGCUUGCUUGCUGCGCACGAUGUUACCGCGCUUGCUGGGCGCGAUGGUGCCGUGCGCUGGCUUGCUUGCUGCGCGCGAUGGUGCCGCGCGCUGGCUUGCUUGCUGCGCGCGAUGGUGCCGCGCGCUGGCGCGCUUGCUGCGCGCGAUGGUGUUGCGAGCAAUAUCUCUGUCUCUGCACGAUGGUGCCGCGCGCUGGGGCGCUUGCUGCCAGCGAUGGUGCCGCGCGCUGGGGCGCUUGCUGCGAGCGAUGGUGCCGCGCGCGAUCGCGCUUUCUGCGCGCGAUGGUGCUGCGCGCAGGUGCCGCGCGAUGGGGCCGCGCGCUUGCGCGCUGUUGUCGCGCGAUGGUGCCGCGCGCUUGCGCGCUGUUGGCGCGCGAUGGUGGCACGCGUUGGCGCGCUGGUGCUGCGCGAUGGUGCCGCGCGCUUGCGCGCUGUUGCCGCGCGAUGCUGUCGCGCGCUGGUACUGCACGAUGGUGCCGUGCGCUGGCGCGCUGGCUGCGCGCUUCCGCUGGUCAUUUCUCGCACGAAGGGAGGUUAGCUGUGCGGGAAAUGGCCUGCCAGUACCCAUGUGCCGAUGCGGCUAAAAAUACCUCUUUUUGCACUCCAAUUUUUUUUCUCCUUCUCUUGAAAAAUUCUUCAUAUUUUUCUUGACCAUGAUGGAAAAAAUCAGACCAAAAUUCAAUAUAUAUAUUUUUUUUUGGGGUGGGGGUCAGCUCAAGUAUUGGGAGUGUCUAUUGCUGCUAGAUCAAAAAAAGCUCUAAGACCUCUUUAGGGGGGUAAGGGAUGAGAGGUGCCUAGGUCGGGUGGUGGGUGCCCCGCCCCUCGUUGGCCUUGGCCUUGCUGCUGACCUUGGUCUUUCGGUUUUGGGAUGUCCGUCGGAAUGUCGCCGUCGAGCUCGCGCCGGCGUCAUUCCGGCGGCGUUCCGGCGUCAUUCCGGCGGCGUUCCGGCGUCAUUCCGGCGGCGUUCCAGCGACCUUGUUUUGCAGAAAAAGUAAAUGUGUGCUGCUUUUCGUGUCCGACGGUGCUGGCUCAGCCUUGCUUGGUGCUUCCGUAGACCCAACGGCAUUUGCUCCGGGCAUGCGGGGCGCUCGGCAAGGUCGUAGCCAAGUGAACGGCCUUGUUUUUGCGGAAAAAGUAAAUGUGUACUGCUUUUCGCGUCCGACGGUGCUGGCUCAGCCUUGCUUGGUGCUUCCGUAGACCCGACGGCAUUUGCUCCGGGCAUGCGGGGCGCUCGGCAAGGUCGUAGCAAAGUGAACGGCAGGGCGUGUGAGUGGUGAUUGGAGGGCGUCAGUUGGCAGGCUCCGUGCUCGUACACCAAACUGCUCGAAGGCCGUCCGCUUCAUUCUUUCCCCAAGCACAGCUGUUGCCUUGAGGGUUCGUUCGGUAUCCUGUGUUGCUUACCAACAAAAUGAAAUUGCUGGUUUCGGUUUUCCCCGUCCGCCUUGUGCCCUUCCGGGUGCGGGGUGGACGCGAGGCGAGCUCCGUGUUCCCGGCGUGCCUAGCGCUCAGACGCUCGGUCGCCUCGGCCCACGAAGUCUCUGCCCGUUCUCUCGGAUGCGGAAUGCUGCGCAUGGAUGUGAGGUCUCGGCCUCGAUUGUCCAAGCUACACGUAUCGUCUCUUGACGUAAACGACCGCCGCAUCCGUCUUGGCCGACCAACCGAGGCCCCGAACGGGGCCCCGAGAGGGACGGACAUGCGGGCGCCGGCGUCGGGAAGGAAUGCUACCUGGUUGAUCCUGCCAGUAGUCAUAUGCUUGUCUCAAAGAUUAAGCCAUGCAUGUGUAAGUAUGAACUAAUUCAGACUGUGAAACUGCGAAUGGCUCAUUAAAUCAGUUAUAGUUUGUUUGAUGGUAUUUGCUACUCGGAUAACCGUAGUAAUUCUAGAGCUAAUACGUGCACCAAACCCCGACUUCUGGAAGGGAUGCAUUUAUUAGAUAAAAGGUCGACGCGGGCUCUGCCCGUUGCUCUGAUGAUUCAUGAUAACUCGACGGAUUGCAAGGCCACCGUGCU
rnacentral:lncRNA from 1 species